CGGCGAUGAUUACAAAUUAUCCGCGCUUCUGAGUGUCUACGAUGAAGCACAGAGGAUAAAAAAAUGGUUGAAUUUCUUGAUAUGAGCCG
rfam:Eucalyptus grandis cultivar BRASTZ1 unplaced genomic scaffold scaffold_11, whole genome shotgun sequence.